UGACUUCGGCGAGACUUUGAAAAUCGAUCUAUAAAAUCCACUCCUCUCUUUCCUCUCAUGAUCCUACUUCUGAUUCUUGAUCAAUCACCGGUGACAAGCAUGAAGUUUUCCAUCAAAAUUUCUGAACAAACCACUGUAGAUUUGCCUCAUUGACACAAGGUAACCAACCCCGUCUUUCUUCUGUAUUUAUCCUAGAGUUCCUCGGCUGUUAUCAAUGACUUCAUCGACUCGAUUUUUGCUGAC
rnacentral:lncRNA from 1 species